rnacentral:ncRNA from 1 species
UCCUUCAGUGGGAACAGGCACGUAAACAAGUUGGAGAGGUCCGGAAAGUCCACUGUCCCUAUCUACUAUCUAGCGAAACCACAGCCAGGGAACGGGCUUGGAAUAAUAGCGGGGAAAGAAGACCCUUUUGAGCUUGACUCUAAUCUGGCAGUGUAAGGAGACAUAAGAGGUGUAGAAUAAGUGGGAGAUAUUAGACCUCGGUUUGGUAUCGUCAAUGAAAUACCACUACUCUUAUUGUUUCCUUACUUACUUGAUUAAAUGGAACGUGUAUCAUUUCCUAGCCAUUAUACGGAUAUAUUUAUUAUAUCUUAUGGUAUUGGGUUUUGAUGCAAGCUUCUUGAUCAAAGUAUCACGAGUUUGUUAUAUAAUCGCAAACAAAUUCUUUAAUAAAACGAUGCAUUUAUGUAUUUUUGAUUUGAAAAUUUGGUAUAACUCCAAUUACUCAGGUAUGAUCCAAUUCAAGGACAUUGCCAGGUAGGGAGUUUGACUGGGGCGGUACAUCUCUCAAAUAAUAACGGAGGUGUCCCAAGGCCAGCUCAGUGCGGACAGAAACCACACAUAGAGCAAAAGGGCAAAUGCUGACUUGAUCUCGGUGUUCAGUACACACAGGGACAGCAAAAGCUCGGCCUAUCGAUCCUUUUGGUUUAAAGAGUUUUUAACAAGAGGUGUCAGAAAAGUUACCAUAGGGAUAACUGGCUUGUGGCGGCCAAGCGUUCAUAGCGACGUCGCUUUUUGAUCCUUCGAUGUCGGCUCUUCCUAUCAUUGUGAAGCAAAAUUCACCAAGCGUUGGAUUGUUCACCCAUGCAAGGGAACGUGAGCUGGGUUUAGACCGUCGUGAGACAGGUUAGUUUUACCCUACUAAUGACAAAACGUUGUUGCGACAGCAUCCUGCGUAGUACGAGAGGAACCGCAGGUACGGACCAAUGGCACAAUACUUGUUCGAGCGAACAGUGGUAUGACGCUACGUCCGUUGGAUUAUGCCUGAACGCCUCUAAGGUUGUAUCCGUGCUGGACUGCAAUGAUAAAUAAGGGGCAAUUUGCAUUGUAUGGCUUUUAAACCAUUUAAAGUUUAUAAUUUAUUUUAUAAACGACAAUGGAUGGUUUUUUUUUUUUUUUUUUUUUUUUUUUUGGGUAUUAUAAAUUAAAAACGUCCUUCGGCGACCAUCCAU